rnacentral:rRNA from 1 species
UGGCGGCGCGUUUAAGCAUGCAGUCGAGCGGCAAGGGCCUUCGGGCCCUAGAGCGGCGGACGGGUGAGUAACACGUGGACAAUCUGCCCCCGGCCCGGGAUAGCCCAGGGAAACCUGGAUUAAUACCGGAUGAGACGGGACCCGCGAUGGCGGGAUCCGGGAAAGGCGCUGCGGCGCCGCCGGGGGAUGAGUCUGCGUCCCAUUAGCUGGACGGCGGGGUAACGGCCCACCGUGGCGACGAUGGGUAGCCGGCCUGAGAGGGUGGACGGCCACAUUGGAACUGAGACACGGUCCAGACUCCUACGGGAGGCAGCAGCUAAGAAUCUUCCGCAAUGGGCGAAAGCCUGACGGAGCGGAACCGCCGCGUGAACGAAGAAGGCCGUGAGGUUGUAAAGUUCUUUUCGGGAGGGGGAACAACCGUGGCAGGGAAUGGCCGCGGGAUGACGUGAAUCCCGGAAUAAGCCCCGGCUAACUACGUGCCAGCCGCAGC